rnacentral:tRNA from 1 species
GGAAGUGUAUCGAAGUGGUCAUAACGGCCCUGACUCGAAAUCAGGUAGCGGGGUAACUCGCUCGUGGGUUCGAAUCCCACCGCUUCCGCCA